rnacentral:rRNA from 1 species
CCUACGGGAGGCUGCAGUGAGGAAUAUUGGUCAAUGGCCGGAAGGCUGAACCAGCCAUGCCGCGUGAAGGUCAGUGCCCUAUGGACGUUAAACUUCUUUUGUGCGGGAGCAAUACUGGUCACGUGUGGCCAGACGAGAGUACCGUACGAAUAAGCAUCGGCUAACUCCGUGCCAGCAGCCGCGGUAAUACGGGGGAUGCAAGCGUUAUCCGGAUUUAUUGGGUUUAAAGGGUUCCUAGGCUGGUAGGUAAGUCAGCGGUGAAAUUCCCCCGCUCAACGGGGUGAAGUGCCAUUGAUACUGCUCGGCUGGAAUGCGGAUGCGGUGGGAGGAAUGUGUGGUGUAGCGGUGAAAUGCAUAGAGAUCACACAGAACACCGAUUGCGAAGGCAUCUCACGAAGCCGCGAUUGACGCUGAUGCACGAAAGCGUGGGUAUCAAACAGGAUUAGAUACCCGAGUAGUC